rnacentral:lncRNA from 1 species
CAAAGGUGCUCCAGAAGCUCUGGGCACUGUGGGCGAGCACGGGGGUGGUGGCACAAGGGGCUGUGGAUAAAGCAGCGAGACUGGGCAGGGGAGGAAUGUCCCCCGCAGGAAAGCCACGGCCUGGCAGCAGGCUGCUGCACACUCGGGGUGCAGGAUGCCGUGGCUUUCCCGCAGAGUGUCGGGGCUGUCCUUGCUGCCACCAGAAGGCUCACUCUGGGGGAGAAAGGUCGUGGAACAGCUGAAUGCAGGCAGAAACCUGUCCCGGCCACAUCCUCCAGCCUGCGCCUCUCUGCGCGAUUUUUUGGGGAAGUAGAAGAACUUUUUUAGCCUUGCUUUACAUCAGCAACGCAGAGCAUCGAGCACGAAGGACUUGGAGGGAGCCUCAGCGGCAGCGAGCAGCGCAUCCCUGCCUGUGCCGGGAGCUCUGGAGCGGCCGGGAAGCUUGCGGGGAGCUGGACGGCCGCGGGAUGGCGUCGGGCGGCUUGCGAAGCGCAGGACGGCGCUUGGUGAGCGGCGGCGACACCGCCCGGAGGGCUCCGAUCCGCGCUGCCCCGCAGCUGCUGCUGCCAGAAGCUUCUGAUGUUUUCUUCCUUUUCGCGUACAAGAGCUCCAUAAAUGCUCUGUGUCCCAGAGAGGUUGUGACUGGUCUGGGGGCUGCUGGUCAGACCUCUCUGCAGAGGCCACUGGACCUGAGAGCAUCGAGGGGCACAUCAGGACCAGGCCCUGACUGCCAGACCAGAAGGAUCCCUGGGGUUGCCUGA